AUGUCGACGGACGCACUGGAGCUCAGUGGGAAUUGUGGUGUCUUCCCGAUGGAGUCCCAAGAUUCCAUGACUGCCCCAGCUCUAGAGGUCGAGAAGGGUGACGAAGAACUGAUUGGCGGAGAUGGACAGAGAUACGAGGUGUGUUCUGAAGCUACCAGCGGCUGGACGAGGAGGGUGAGGCUAGGGAAGGCGCCUGAAGAGAGGGAGAUGAACCCUGACAGGAAAACAGCUCUUGAGUCGUCUGUCCGUGCUUAUGCUGAAAAUCGUGAAGGGCAUGUCAUCAAUCCAAAGAUUGGCACAGAAUUUGACUCGCUGGACGAGGCUUAUGAAUUCUACAACCUUUAUUCAUGGGAGACUGGUUUUGGUAUACGGUUGGCAAAGAGCAGGCUAAAUGUGCAAAGAGUAAGAUGUAUGCAAGAGAUUGUGUGUGCCUGUACGGGUUCCCCAUUAAAAGAGAACAGCCGUUCGUCGAGAUGUGGUUGCAGUGCAAUGAUAAGGCUGCUGAGAUCCAAGGAUGCUGGUUGGUACAUAUCAGAGCACAAAGCAGGGCACAACCAUCCGCUCUCUAUUACAUGUGGCCAGAAAAUGCAUUGGAAGUCGCACAGGCAUAUAGAUAGAUACACCAAGGAUCUUGUGAAGCAGUUGAGGGACAACAAUGUUUCCCUUGGGAAGGUUUUCAGCAUUGUUGGUAGCUUCUUUGGUGCUGCGGAGAAUGUGCCAUUUACAAAAAGGUCUCUGAAAACAUUGUGCAGGAAGCUCAACAAGGAGCAGUCGGAUCUUGAUGCGGUAAAAACGAUGAACAUGCUUGCGGAUAUGAAAGCUGAUGAUCCAGAGUUCAACUACACAGUGCAGGUCGACGAGGAGAGCCGCAUCAGAACAUUGAUGUGGGUGACAAGUAGAGGGUGCGAUCAGUAUAGGUAUUUUGGAGAUGCAAUAACAUUUGAUACUACAUACAUGACAAACCUGUAUGAUAUGCCGUUUGGCCUGUUUGUUGGCGUUAACAACCACUUCCAAAGCAUAAUAUUCGGUGGAGCCAUGAUGAGAGACAAGAAAGAGGAAACAUUGAAAUGGAUAUUCAGGGAGUUUCUCCGCAUGGUGGGUGGCAAACAUCCGCAGACAAUACUUACAGUCAAGCACGGUCUAUGGAGCUUGCUAUUGAAGCAGAGCUGCCAAGCACAGUGCACCGUUGGUGCAAAUGGCAUGUUUUGA
rnacentral:rRNA from 1 species